AUUGAACGCUGGCGGCAUGCUUUACACAUGCAAGUCGAACGGCAGCGCGGGCUUCGGCCUGGCGGCGAGUGGCGAACGGGUGAGUAAUGCAUCGGAACGUGCCCAGUAGUGGGGGAUAGCCCGGCGAAAGCCGGAUUAAUACCGCAUACGACCUGAGGGUGAAAGCGGGGGACCGAAAGGCCUCGCGCUAUUGGAGCGGCCGAUGUCGGAUUAGCUAGUUGGUGGGGUAAAGGCUUACCAAGGCGACGAUCCGUAGCUGGUCUGAGAGGACGACCAGCCACACUGGGACUGAGACACGGCCCAGACCCCUACGGGAGGCAGCAGUGGGGAAUUUUGGACAAUGGGGGCAACCCUGAUCCAGCCAUGCCGCGGGCGGGAAGAAGGCCUUCGGGUUGUAAACCGCUUUUGUUCGGGAAGAAAUCCUCUGGGCUAAUACCCCGGGGGGAUGACGGUACCGGAAGAAUAAGCACCGGCGAACUACGU
rnacentral:rRNA from 1 species